CACGUAGGCGGAUACUUAAGUCAGGGGUGAAAUCCCGGGGCUCAACCCCGGAACUGCCUUUGAUACUGGCUAUCUGGAGUCCGGAAGAGGUGAGUGGAAUUCCGAGUGUAGAGGUGAAAUUCGUAGAUAUUCGGAGGAACACCAGUGGCGAAGGCGGCUCACUGGUCCGGUACUGACGCUGAGGUGCGAAAGCGUGGGGAGCAAACA
rnacentral:rRNA from 1 species